rnacentral:rRNA from 1 species
AUACGAAGGGGGCUAGCGUUGUUCGGAAUUACUGGGCGUAAAGCGCGCGUAGGCGGACUGAUCAGUUGGGGGUGAAAUCCCAGGGCUUAACCCUGGAACUGCCUCCAAUACUGUCAGUCUUGAGUUCGGGAGAGGUGAGUGGAAUUCCUAGUGUAGAGGUGAAAUUCGUAGAUAUUAGGAAGAACACCAGUGGCGAAGGCGGCUCACUGGCCCGAUACUGACGCUGAGGCGCGAAAGCGUGGGGAGCAAACAGGAUUAGAUACCCUUGUAGUCC